CAUUUAUAAACUAAUACGUACUUAGGUAUGACUAGAUAAUGCAUACUGCAAAGUUGUUACGUUAUAAUUGCACGUUGACAGUUGGAAGGGAAACGACUCGCGCGUGAGAUAACCAUGUCUUAUCUGUGUCAGUUAGUCAGGUCGUUUAUGACAUAAAGGCGUUAACGAUAAUGGUAGCAGGAGCGAUGGUGUCGGUGUUAUUAUUGGUGGUGGUAGUUGUGUAAUGUCAGCCGUGGUGACGAUGGUGGUGGUUGCGGUGGUUAGUAUCUGACGUUUGUACAGGAACAAGCAAAGUGAAGGGAAACUAGAGCAACAGUCAAAACCAGCCACAUCAGAGGAAGAGUUAAAGUGAAAGAGUGACUAAAAGUUUGAAAGAGAAUGAUAAAGGCACAGAGAGAAUGUUAGAGAGGGAAAGAAAAAGGAAGAGAGUUAGAGACAGAAAGAGGGUGAGGAGUUGAGUCAAAGGGGGAAUUAGAGAAAUAGUGAAGGUGAAAAAGGGUGGGAAAUGAUUAGAUAACGACAAAAAUAGCUUGGAUUUCAUACACAUUUAAAUGAAAGCGCACGUAUUUCAUUAAAGAGACUCGAAAACAAUGGAUUUGUUCGGUUUGACGGAGUACGUUACGACCUUCGUGCUAGGAGCAGUACUUCUUUUAGCUCUUUACCUAUAUGGAAGAAGACCAUACUUAUAUUUCAAAGAACUUGGUAUUCCCGGUCCCAAACCUACUUGUUUUUUGGGAAACUCACAUGAAAUAGGAAAGCGGGCACAAUCCACAUAUCAUAACGAACUGACAAAAUUAAAUAGGAGAAGAAACGAGAAAAAGCUGAGAAGGCAGUAUAUAGAAAAAGAAGAAGGUUAAAAAAAUGGAAAAUCA
rnacentral:lncRNA from 1 species